AAUAAAUACAACUUGAUGGAGCAAAAUAUCCUAACAUUGAUUACCUCAUUUUAUCCUGAUAUUGAUUGCCUCACCCUGCCGUAAUGCUUCCCAGAUAAAGAAGAAGAGACCAAGAGGUUAAGGAACCUAGAAGAAAUGGAGGCCUGGAUGUAGACCACAUUGAAAAGAACCAAGAGAGACAGGUUCUCGGCUCUGAGCUCUACAGAGAGCAGCUGCCCCUCCAGACAGCCCAGAUGCCGGAGGAGAUUCCUGCACUUCAGAUGAAAAGGAGAACGGCCACUUCUUUGAAGUGCAUGUAUCAAAGCUUUAAUAAGAGCUAAUAAAACCGUUAUGUUGGGUUCACAUCUCCUGAGACUAACAAGUCAAAGCCUCCCUGAGGAAAGAAACUGUUAUAUAACUGUUCUUAUGAUUUCCACUUUCCCCACUUCAAUCCUUAAUUAAAAGACCACAAUAAUUAUUUUGUAUUCAUUGUAGAAUAUUAAUUAAAUCUUAAUCGAUCUGUCCAGAUUUUUUUUUUUGCAGCAAUGAAGUGGCUAAAAAGUGAACACAAGGUCGAGCCACCUGCGUGAACACCUGGGCAGGGGGCCCCUAGGAAUCUUUGCUGUCCCACAGCUUCUAACGGUGUGGCAGUGAAUUCCUUCAUCCAUGAGGGGUUCACAUUUCCAGAAUGAUUUUGCCCAGACAAGGACAGGUCACCUCUCGGAGCUCCAGGUGCCUGACUACCAGUCUUUGGAAGAAGGGACUGUACUGUCCGUGGGCAUGAAGAGUAAAGAGGGAGGCUGGCAGCUCGAAUACCCAGAACCAGAGACAGUCCAGGAUGGAAGAUACCAGCCCAGCUGGAGGCGCAUCAGGGUCUGGAAGGAGGACCCGCAUUGCCAGCCCUCUCCCAGGUGCUUCUGGACCAUGUUCUGAGUAAGCAGGUUGCCCAUCAGUGCUGCAGGGAGGCGGCUUGGGAUCCAAAAUCUCGCUGUGUUCACACUCACAUCUGUGUAUCUGACCGAAGUGCCCUGUGGACAUCCUGCAUUUUGCUUUUCUUCCUGCUCACAGCGAAGGGGCAAAACAGCUGAACCCUUUCUUCAUAUUAAUCCUUUGGAUCUUUCAAAUUCCCCAAGUCCUCGGAGUUAAUUGGGAAGCAGGGGGUGAUACAAUCCUGGAGAAUCUGGAAGCCUUGACUCUGGAGCUUCCCCGCAAGCCUGGCCUGAUUCUACACUCAGUGACUGAUUGGAAGGACCGAGAUAACCAUCACAGCUUUUCAAGACCAACAGGGAUGGGAAACGUGAUGAGAGGAAAGAGUUUGGGAAAAGCUUCCGGUCAGGUCAGCUGUUUGGCAGCUUACGCUUUUUCUGUGUGUUCCGUAUGCUCUCCCUAGGGCCAGGGCCUGUGUUCCCACGGGCGCCUGGAGCAACGGUGCACGUCUGUUUCCUAGGCUGUUCUUUGUGCUCAGCCCCCUGCAAGUCAACACAGCUUCUUCCAGGCUGAUCCCCUGGUGCUAGUAUGUAGUGAGCACUUUCUGAAGGGCCCCCAGGUGGCUCCAGUGCUGUCAGGUGGGGUGGGAAUCAAGAGCCCACCUGCCCAGGGGGAACCCUUUCUGAGCUACUUCGGAGUAGAGACUGAGCCUGGAGCACAGUCUUCACUCCCCAGGCCUCUUGGGAGCCGUGCAUCAGGGUCCUCCUGAUGCCCUGGGGUCUGCCCCUCACCCCCUAAUCCCAGGUCGUGGGGAUUUUCCUCUUCAACCCGCUAAAACCAGGUUAUCAACUCUCAAGUCUCUGCCGGCCCCCUUCAGCAAUUGGCAUAUGUAAAUAUGAUGGAUUCUGCCAAGAAGAAAGGCCUGGCAGGCAAAGAUCUCUUGGAUGAUACCCCUCCAGGCUGGGCAGACCACAAAAACCCUGACAGCCUGUAGGGGUGUGAGCUCAUUGGGUAGUUACCAAGCAAUGGCCCCUUCUCCUCUUGGGGUGCCCCUCCCAGAGCUUUGACAUUUAUUUUGGGGUGGGGAGCUACUCACAGUUUAUCUUUGAUGUCUUUGAACCUCUAAACCUUAACCCUAAGAGGUGACUGGAAGGAGGACUUGUGACUCAGGAAAGAGAGCCAUAGAGGCAAAGAUUCUAGACUGGACUGUGAUGUCUUAGGUAAAGCAUGUUUUUUAAUUAUUUAUGAGUCAGUUUUACUUCCUCUAAAUUUGAGAGCAUUUGAUUCAUUCAUUUAUUCAUUCUCCUUAAUAUAUGCUAAUUUAUAUCCAGUGCUGUGUGGGGCUGUGUAGCAAAUACAAAGGGAAGCAACAACAACAUUUUAAAUCACUCACUCAAAAUAUGCCUUUCUAUGCAAAGUAUGCUGAGUACCAGCAGUACUGGCAUCACUCGGAAGCCUGUUAGGAGUGCUUGAGUUCCACUCCAGACUGUGAAUCAGAAACUGCAUUUGACAGGAUCCUCUCACUGAUUUGUGCACCCAUUAAAGUUUGAGAAAUACUGACAAUGUGGAUAACACUGUCCUCUGCUUUAGUACACAUCAUCUCAGGAUACACGGUCCUCUCCAUAAGGGGCUCGUAAUCAAGGAUGAGAGAAACGGAUUCUGACAGAUCCCCAUUCGACAGUGUAGGGAACAUCGUUACAGAGAAGGGAAUAGGAUAUGAUGGGAAUUCAGAGGAGUAAGUGAUAGCCUGUGCCAUUCUUUCAGUCAUUCAUUCUAAAAAGACUUGAACACUUGCUGUAAGCCACGUACUUGACUGCCUGCUGCGAAAUGCAAAUAAUGCUAGAACUAUUCUAUUUUUACGGAGCUUAACUUCUAGUGGGUAAAGACAGGUAAUAAACAAGUAUUAUGCAUAAUUCCA
ensembl:lncRNA